rnacentral:rRNA from 1 species
AUGGCGUCCUCGCUUCGCCAUUGCGUGCUCUUGGCCUCUCUCCUUUGCGCCGUUUCCGUCGCCUUCACUUCUGUCUCCGGCGGCGGCUCCGGGCUCGGCCCAAUCACCACCAAUGGCCGGAACUAUACCAAGGUCUGCGACCCGGCCCGGUUCGCGGCCAUGGGUCUUGAAAUGGGUGGCUUCCGGUAUUGCGACGCCUCCCUGCCAUACGCCGAGCGGGUGCGGGACCUCGUCGGCCGGCUCACGCUGGAGGAGAAGGUGCGCAACCUCGGCGACCGGGCCGAGGGCGCGGCGCGCGUCGGGCUGCCACCGUACCUCUGGUGGGGGGAGGCCCUGCACGGCGUGUCGGACACCGGGCCGGGCGGCACGCGGUUCGGAGACGUGGUGCCCGGCGCCACCAGCUUCCCGCUCGUCAUUAACAGCGCCGCGGCGUUCAACGAGACGCUGUGGGGAGCCAUCGGCGGCGCCGUGUCCACCGAGAUCAGGGCCAUGUACAACCUGGGCCACGCCGAGCUCACGUACUGGAGCCCCAACAUCAACGUGGUGCGCGACCCGCGGUGGGGCCGCGCCAGCGAGACGCCCGGCGAGGACCCCUUCGUCGUCGGACGGUACGCCGUCAACUUCGUCCGCGCAAUGCAGGACAUCGACGGCGCCGGUCCCGGCCCCGGUGCCGACCCUUUCGCCCGGCCCAUCAAGGUCUCCAGCUGCUGCAAGCACUACGCCGCCUACGACGUGGACGCGUGGCUCACCGCCGACCGGCUCACGUUCGACGCGCGGGUGGAGGAGCGCGACAUGAUCGAGACGUUCGAGCGGCCGUUCGAGAUGUGCGUGAGGGACGGGGACGCGAGCUGCGUCAUGUGCUCCUACAACCGCAUCAACGGCGUCCCGGCCUGCGCCAACGCGCGGCUCCUGUCGGAGACCGUCCGCGGCGAGUGGCAGCUCCAUGGGUACAUCGUCUCCGACUGCGACUCGGUCCGCGUCAUGGUCAGGGACGCCAAGUGGCUCGGGUACAACGGCGUGGAGGCGACGGCGGCGGCCAUGAAGGCCGGGCUGGACCUCGACUGCGGCAUGUACUGGGAGGGCGCGCAAGACUUCUUCACCGCCUUCGGCCUGGACGCCGUGCGGCAGGGGAAGCUGCGGGAGUCCGAGGUCGACAACGCGCUGCGGAACCUCUACCUCACCCUCAUGAGGCUCGGCUUCUUCGACGGCAUUCCGGAGCUGGAGUCCCUCGGCGCCGACGACGUCUGCACGGAGGAGCACAAGGAGCUGGCCGCCGACGCCGCGAGGCAAGGCAUGGUGCUCAUCAAGAACGAUCACGGCCGGCUGCCAUUGGACACCAACAAGGUCCAUUCGUUGUCACUGGUUGGCCUCCUGCAACACAUCAACGCCACGGAUGUCAUGCUGGGAGACUACAGAGGCAAACCAUGCAGAGUUGUGACGCCGUACGAUGCGAUAAGGAAGGUCGUCAGCGCCACGUCGGCGCACGUGUGCGACGACGGCGCGUGCGGCGCGGCCGCCGACGUGAAAACCGUGGACGCGACCAUCGUCAUCGCCGGCCUCAACAUGAGCGUGGAGAAGGAGGGCAACGACAGGGAGGAUCUACUCCUGCCGUGGAAUCAGACCAACUGGAUCAACGCGGUCGCCGAAGCCUCACCGUACCCAAUCAUCCUGGUGAUCAUUUCCGCCGGCGGCGUCGACGUCUCCUUUGCGCAGAACAACCCCAAGAUCGGGGCCAUCCUCUGGGCCGGGUACCCCGGCGAGGAAGGAGGCACGGCCAUCGCCGACGUGCUCUUCGGAAAAUACAAUCCAGGGGGAAGGCUGCCGCUAACGUGGUACAAGAACGAGUACAUCAGCAAGAUCCCGAUGACGUCCAUGGCGCUGCGGCCGGUCGCCGACAAGGGGUACCCUGGCAGGACCUACAAGUUCUACGGCGGGCCGGAAGUGCUCUACCCGUUCGGCCACGGUCUCAGCUACAGCAACUUAAGCUACGCGUCCGACACCACCGGGGCUUCGGUCACAGCCCGGGUUGCCGCAUGGGAGUCCUGCAAGCAGCUCACCCGCAAGCUGGGGACGGCCGCGCUGGCCUGCCCGGCUGUCAACGUCGCCGGACACGGGUGCCAAGAGGAGGUAAGCUUCAGUCUGACCGUGGCCAACCGUGGCAGCAGGGACGGCACCCACGUCGUGUUGGUCUACACGGUGCCGCCGGCCGAGGUGGACGACGCGCCGCUGAAGCAGUUGGUGGCGUUCCGGAGGGUGUUCGUGCCCGCGGGAGCCGCCGUCCAAGUGCCGUUCACGCUCAACGUGUGCAAGGCGUUCGCCAUCGUCGAGGAGACUGCCUACACCGUCGUGCCGUCGGGCGUCAGCACGGUCCUGGUCGGAGACGAAGCCCUGUCAUUCUCUUUCCCCGUGAAGAUCGAGCUGGCUGUAUAG